ACGAACGCUGGCGGCGUGCUUAACACAUGCAAGUCGAACGAGAGACGGUGAAAAGCUUGCUUUUAAUCGAAUCGAGUGGCAAACGGGUGAGUAACGCGUAAACAACCUGCCCCUGGGAUGGGGACAACAGCUGGAAACGGCUGCUAAUACCGAAUGAGCUCCACGUGCCGCAUGGCAGGAGGAGGAAAGGGUGGCCUCUGGAACAAGCUACCGCCGAGGGAGGGGUUUGCGUCUGAUUAGCUAGUAGGUGGGGUAACGGCUCACCUAGGCGACGAUCCCUAGCUGGUCUGAGAGGAUGACCAGCCACACUGGAACUGAGACACGGUCCAGACUCCUACGGGAGGCAGCAGUGGGGAAUAUUGCACAAUGGGCGCAAGCCUGAUGCAGCCAUGCCGCGUGUAUGAAGAAGGCCUUCGGGUUGUAAAGUACUUUCAGCGGGGAGGAAGGGAGUAAAGUUAAUACCUUUGCUCAUUGACGUUACCCGCAGAAGAAGCACCGGCUAACUCCGUGCCAGCAGCCGCGGUAAUACGGAGGGUGCAAGCGUUAAUCGGAAUUACUGGGCGUAAAGCGCACGCAGGCGGUUUGUUAAGUCAGAUGUGAAAUCCCCGGGCUCAACCUGGGAACUGCA
rnacentral:rRNA from 1 species